GCUUCUUGUCCGCAGCGGCCUCCUGUGCAAUGCCGUGCGCUGCCGUGUGGCAAUUUGGAAAUGCAUUCCCAGGCGUCGUUCCCCAGGACCGCUCUUCUUUCCUAAUUCUUUUCACUCACUUGAGCCGUAGCUGUGUUCAAAUCUGGUUUUCCCUUCCCCAGAGGACAAAAGUCUUGACCCCCGUGCAGGUUUAACAGUUUAGGAAAUCAAAUUGGACCUUCGCAUUUGUUAACGCUUGGUUUGAGCUUGGGGUUUGAUUUGUGGAUUUCCAUUCGCACCUGGUUUCAAGGUGUGGUACCUGGAAUAACCAGAGGCAGCACCUGAGCACGGGAGCCUUCCCACAAAUUUCCAGGGAGAACCAACUGCCAGGAAGUGGCUUGGAGGCACGAGAAGGACGAGGUGACAUCAUCUGUGAGGACAAGCUGUGGUGGCACCAACAAGAGCCUUGCCUGGAGGAGGGGAGUGUCCUCCUGGGACAAGGGAAGAGCAGUGGCAGCCCGUUACUGUGACUUUAGCAAGGCUUGUGACACAGCCCCCCACCAUAUCCAAGCCCUGAGCUCUUGUCAAGGCUGAUUCUUAGAGUGGAGAUUUCCAUCAUAGCUUUGACAGUUUCAGGGCUGUUUUGACCCUCUCUCAAUCACAAGCUGGAAGAUGACUGUGGAGCCCAAGAAGGUCAUCUGAGGGGUGAUUUCUCUGGCACCCUAGAAGAUCAGAAGGGAUAUUCCCAAUGUGCUCUGCACACUCACACUUGGGUGCACCAGCUCAAUCCAGAUGGAGUUCCUGCUACGUUUGGUGGAAUUGUUCUGUUGGAUGGUGUAUCCACAAAGAUGGGGCUUGUAACAAAGCCAGAACUGUGUGGUAAGUCCACCAGCUGCCCCCCUCGUGAAGUUUCUCAGUGAGCUGUGCACACAUGACCACACACUGCCUUUUUCCCUCCCACGCACACAAACUCUGUGGUAAGUUGUUCAGUGAGUUGUGACACAUAUCAGUGCUAUUGGCCUCUGAUGUUGUUGGGUUCCUGUUUCUGGGGGCUGACCACAGCAAUGCUAUCUGAAAAGUUUUCCACCAAACUCAGAGAGAAUUUUCAUUAAAGCUCUCUCCAGUUUAGUCCCUCAAGCAUGGGUGUCUUUCUACUCAUGAAUGCAAGCAGCAGAAGAAAGCAAUAAAUCCCUUUGAAUAAUGUGCCAGUGCUCCACUGUUACAUAACUGUCAUCCCUAAGUAGAAGAUGACUAUUUACCAACUAAAGAAUAUUGGCAAGGAUUUAAAGCAUUUAAAAAUAAUUCUGCUGCUUCCAGAAUUUGGAUCAUUGACCCUUAACCUGAAAGCUGGUUUUCCAAAUGUCCUCCAGGGAACACAUUGUGUACUUAACUUUCCCCAUGAAAACUACAAAAAACUGUAUACAAAAAUACAAGGAUUAAAGGCCAGAGCCACAACAGAUUUUGACU